CACGAAACUGAGCAUGGCUGUCAACUCUCUAUCAAAGGUUCUUUUCCGGUUUCGUACACGACGAAGGAGAUAUUAAACAAUGGGUCGUUACUCACGUGAGCCAGAUAACGCCACCAAGUCGUGCAAGUCGCGCGGUCCCAAUCUACGU